GGUGGGGUGCGCCGAAUUUGGUAAGGCACCGCUCUCGAAAAGCGGCUCCCAAUUUUUGGGAUUGUGGGUUCGAGUCCCACCCCCACCGCCA
rnacentral:tRNA from 1 species